GCCUCUGUAGCUCAGUUGGUUAGAGUGCUGCUCCGGAAUUGCAGGGCCAUAGGUUUGACUCCUACCAGAGGAC
rnacentral:tRNA from 1 species